GAAAGGCUUUUUUUUUUUUUUUAAAGAGAGAGAGAAUUUUUUAAUAUUUAUUUUUUAGUUAUCGGCGGACACAACAUCUUUGUGUAUGUGGUGCUGAGGAUGGAACCCGGGCCGCACGCAUGCCAGGCGAGCACGCUACCACUUGAACCACAUCCCCAGCCCAAAGAAAGGCUUUUAAGUGGUAAGACACUUCAAUAAGAAAGGGGGAGCUAGAAAUGUAGUUCAGAGGUAGAGCCUUAAGUUCAGUCCCUAGCACUGCAAAUAAACCUGACUGGACUUGCUGGGCUUUAAAGCCUAAGUAGAGUGAAUUGAGUGGAUAUGAGAGAAGCAUUCCAGUGAGGAGAGCAAAAGGUGAAAAUAAGCUGAAGCAUCAAGGGAAGAAAGUGGAAGUUGGGGAGCAGAGAUGGAAAUUGCUAAGAGAUGAGGCUAAGCCAAGCCAUGCCUUAUAAGCCAGGUAAGCAUUUCAGUGUCUAGGAGCACUACUGCUUGACUUGAGGCUGUGGAAGGUUUGGGGAGGGAUGGAAUUGUGCUUUAAAAUAACUCAGUGGUAGAGUGGUUGCCUAGCAUGUGCAAAGCCCUGGUUCAAUCCCCAGCACCACAGACAAAUAAAAAUUUAAAAACUUUUUUCUGGCUGCAGUGUCAAAUGGUUUGGAGGGAAACAUGGAAGAGGAUAUGGAGACAACUGAAGUUUGUUACAAAAACCCAAGGCAGAAAUGGAGUGGAGCAGAGUGGGUGUUCUAUG
rnacentral:lncRNA from 1 species